rnacentral:tRNA from 1 species
GGCCGAGUGGUGGAAUGGCAGACACAAACGACUCAAAAUCGUUCGCUUAACGGCAUGAGGGUUCGACUCCCUCCUCGGCCACCA